UUUCAAUUCUGUCAAUUGUCCAUGCUUAACUAUAUUUUAAUUUUUAGAGAUAUUUCAACAUCGAAGACAAUCCCGUAGGGUGGGAAUUUUUAUUUGGAUACCAGGGAAAGUUCAAGCAUUCUCUUCGGGAGUGGAGACACGAGAUAAAGAAGAAAUGCGUUGAUUGUUUCACUCACAACUGGGAGAGGAUAUACAAGCGAGAUAAGAGGGUUGAGCCUGAGCACUUAGCUGCACUUAUAAUAUUGUGGGGCCAAGAGGAGCACCAGGAAAAAUGUCGGAGAAAUAAACUUAAUCGAUGGAAAAAAGAUUAUGAUCAUCAUACGGGGACUACUUCAUUUGCCCAGAUUGAGGAUCAAUUUUGUAGGACAACGAACGCUCCCUUUAUCCCGCUACCAGAACUGCACAGGAGAACGAUGGUUCAAUUUAAGAAGGGGUAUGAUGACGAUGAGAAUAAAAAACAAAAGCUAGAAUUGGCCAAGAAAAUGUAGGUUAACUAAUUAUCUUAGCUCUUAGUAGCCUGUUCUUUUGUUGGGAAUUUAUUGUUUGCACUCUUCUUUUGGUCAUCUUAAUUAUCAUGUAUGAUCCAAAUGCACAUGUGUUCGAUAUGUUGUUUGUUACAAUUUAACGAGGGAAGAAAGCUUUAAACCACAGAGGGAUUUCUUUGUUCAUCUGUCAGGUUCAGUCUAUAGAUCUAGUGAAAGCCUGAAAAAUGUUUAGCUCAACUGUCCUAGGGAAAUGAAACCUGUAGUGUUUUUAGUUAAAAAU